CCUACGUGUGGCUGCAGUGAGGAAUAUUGGUCAAUGGACGAGAGUCUGAACCAGCCAAGUAGCGUGAAGGAUGACUGCCCUAUGGGUUGUAAACUUCUUUUAUAUGGGAAUAAAAUGUUCCACGUGUGGGAUUUUGUAUGUAACAUAUGAAUAAGGAUCGGCUAACUCCGUGCCAGCAGCCGCGGUAAUACGGAGGAUCCGAGCGUUAUCCGGAUUUAGUGGGUUUAAAGGGAGCGUAGGUGGAUUGGUAAGUCAGUUGUGAAAGUUUGCGGCUCAACCGUAAAAUUGUAGUUGAAACUGGCAGUCUUGAGUACAGUAGAGGUGGGCGGAAUUCGUUGUGUAGCGGUGAAAUGCUUAGAUAUCACGAAGAACUCCGAUUGCGAAGGCAGCUUACUAAACUGCCACUGACAUUGAUGCUCGAAAGUGUGGGUAUCAAACAGGAUUAGAUACCCCAGUAGUC
rnacentral:rRNA from 1 species